rnacentral:lncRNA from 1 species
UUUGGCUUUCAAUACACAAUCGCCUAGUAGAUCAAGCUGAACCUUAAACUGUAUGAAAAGAACACCAAAUGGAACACCCUCAAACAUCCAUCUUCAAAGAAGGUGAAGUACUUUAUGUCAGUUUAUAAAAUCGAAGAAGCCACCGAGAACCUUGCUCAGUCUCGAGAGAUUGGAGAAGGUAGUUUAUAAGCGUUUUCUUGAUCAUACUCUACUUGCGGUCAAGGUUUUACCUCCAGAUGCUGCACAAGGAAGGUUACUGUUCUUGCAACAGGUAAGCAACUAAUGCAAUU